GGACUGGAUUCGUGGUUUGAUUGAUUUUUUACUCACCCCUUGUCAGAAAACAGAGAGAUAGAGAAGAGGGGGACACCACAUCCAACCCAACCCACCGCCAAGCACCACCACUGCUGUCAACACCGAUGGAGAAAACGCCUCCACGACGGCCGACCAGCACCACCACCGUACGCCGACGAGCUUCGAACCACUUUCAAUGGUAUCGAUCUAGAACGCUGACGAAGGUCUCGACCACAACCGCCGCCGCCGUACGCCGCCGAAGGUUAUUGCUCGUAGACUAUCACCAUAUUGGGCUUUGUUGAGCCAACGCCUAAUCAGUCACAAGGAUGGCCAAUGGCCUUAAAAGGAAGUGAUUUUAUUGGCAUUGCUGAGACAGAUGCUGAAAAGACUUUAGCAUAUCUGCUACCUACUUUGGUUCAUGUUAGUGCACAGCCUCAUAUCAUCAAGAGGGUGAGCACAAAGCUAUGCAAGAGGGAGAGCACAAAGCCAAGAAGAGAUGCUAGCAACACUUAGGAUUUUUCUUUUUCAUUUGGCUUGUAAUAUAGCUUAGGGGAGACAAUGAUGAUGAUGUUCGGCUCAUGGCCUUUGUUUCAAUUUGACAAUGUUUCAUGGCUUGUUUGAAAAUAUACAAGUUUGUACUCCA